GACGAACGCUGGCGGCGUGCUUAACACAUGCAAGUCGAGCGAGGGGCUUCGGCUCCUAGCGGCGAACGGGUGAGUAACACGUGGGCAACCUGCCCCGAGCUCUGGAAUAACUUCGGGAAACCGGGGCUAAUGCCGGAUAUGACACUGCCGGGCAUCUGGUGGUGUGGAAAGAUUUAUCGGCUCGGGAUGGGCCCGCGGCCUAUCAGCUUGUUGGUGGGGUAAUGGCCUACCAAGGCGACGACGGGUAGCCGGCCUGAGAGGGCGACCGGCCACACUGGGACUGAGACACGGCCCAGACUCCUACGGGAGGCAGCAGUGGGGAAUAUUGCGCAAUGGGCGAAAGCCUGACGCAGCGACGCCGCGUGGGGGAUGAAGGCC
rnacentral:rRNA from 1 species